CACGUAGGGCGCAAGCGUUGUCCGGAAUUAUUGGGCGUAAAGAGCUCGUAGGCGGUCUGUUGCGUCUGCUGUGAAAACCCGGGGCUUAACCCCUGGCUUGCAGUGGAUACGGACAGACUAGAGGUAGGUAGGGGAGAAUGGAAUUCCCGGUGUAGCGGUGAAAUGCGCAGAUAUCGGGAGGAACACCGGUGGCGAAGGCGGUUCUCUGGGCCGGUACUGACGCUGAGACGCGAAAGCGUGGGGAGCGAACAGG
rnacentral:rRNA from 1 species